ACUCCUACGGGAGGCAGCAGUAGGGAAUCUUCCACAAUGGGCGCAAGCCUGAUGGAGCAACACCGCGUGAGUGAAGAAGGGUUUCGGCUCGUAAAGCUCUGUUGUUAAAGAAGAACACGUAUGAGAGUAACUGUUCAUACGUUGACGGUAUUUAACCAGAAAGUCACGGCUAACUACGUGCCAGCAGCCGCGGUAAUACGUAGGUGGCAAGCGUUAUCCGGAUUUAUUGGGCGUAAAGAGAGUGCAGGCGGUUUUCUAAGUCUGAUGUGAAAGCCUUCGGCUUAACCGGAGAAGUGCAUCGGAAACUGGAUAACUUGAGUGCAGAAGAGGGUAGUGGAACUCCAUGUGUAGCGGUGGAAUGCGUAGAUAUAUGGAAGAACACCAGUGGCGAAGGCGGCUACCUGGUCUGCAACUGACGCUGAGACUCGAAAGCAUGGGGUAGCGAACAGGAUUAGAUACCCU
rnacentral:rRNA from 1 species